CAGCCGUAAACAAUGUGCGUUAGGUGUGUCGGUAACCACGCGUUACUGAUGCGCCGAAGAGAAAUCGUGAAACGCACCACCUGGGAAGUACGGUCGCAAGGCUGAAACUUAAAGGAAUUGGCGGGGGAGCGCCACAACAGGUGGGGCCUGCGGUUUAAUUGGAUUCAACACCGUAAAACUCACCAGGGAAGACUGUUACAUGGAGGCCGAGAUGAAGACUCUGCUAGAUUUUCAGAGAGGUGGUGCAUGGCGUAGUCGUGU
rnacentral:rRNA from 1 species